rnacentral:rRNA from 1 species
CCUACGGGCGGCAGCAGUGAGGAAUAUUGGUCAAUGGGCGCGAGCCUGAACCAGCCAAGUCGCGUGAGGGAAGACGGUCCUAUGGAUUGUAAACCUCUUUUGUCGGGGAGCAAAAGACGCCAAGCGUGGCGGGAAGGAGAGUACCCGAAGAAAAAGCAUCGGCUAACUCCGUGCCAGCAGCCGCGGUAAUACGGAGGAAGGAAGCGGUAUACGGAUUUAUUGGGUUUAAAGGGUGCGCAGGCGGAAGGUCAAGUCAGCGGUAAAAUUGAGAGGCUCAACCUCUUCGAGCCGUUGAAACUGGUCUUCUUGAGUGAGCGAGAAGUAUGCGGAAUGCGUGGUGUAGCGGUGAAAUGCAUAGAUAUCGCGCAGAACUCCGAUGGCGAAGGCAGCAUACCGGCGCUCAACUGACGCUGAGGCACGAAAGCGUGGGGAUCGAACAGGAUUAGAUACCCCAGUAGUC